GGGACACCACCUUCCAGUCCAUCCCCUCCCAUCACCAUGGAGGAGAUCUACAAUUCUUAAGGGCUUGGUGACCUCAGAGUUGAUGAACGUCGGCCAAUGACUCAAGGCCAGAUCUCUAACCCAUACAUCAUGCAACAUGCUCACUAACCUCUCAUCUCCCACCAGCCACUCCAACUGAGGAAUGACAUCAUAGGCACGCACAC
rnacentral:lncRNA from 1 species